rnacentral:lncRNA from 1 species
UUGAACCCUUCCCAAACACUUCUUCUUCUUCCGUAGAAAAAACCCUAGAAAGACCUAGACGUAUUUUGAGCAUCAAUCAUUUUUACGAAGGAAGGGACAUACACAAAAUGGAUCUUCUUGAUCACCUUUACGAAGAUUAAACAAAGAAAAACCUUCGGCCAUCCCUUCUUCUUCACAGAAGACACGAUGAGACCUUCUUCUUCAAUUAAGAAAUAACCAAAUAACCUUGAACACACCCUAGAGAAACCCUAAGAUAACUCUUCUUCAUCAUAACCAAGACUAUAACCAAAAACACAUAAAACUCCAUAAACACCCCACAGAGUUGCCGCCUCCGUACAACCUUCCAGACGCCACCGGAACUCUACCAAGAACCUUAGAUAGUCGUCCAACUCCAAACAUGUCAAACAAUCACCCUCAAUGCUUCUUCCUCUCCAUCGGUGAUCGGUGACCACACACCCAUCUUUCAGCCAAAAACUCCAUUCCGUAAAAUAUACAAACCUCAGCCACGCCCAUAUCCCAAAAAUAGAGAAGAAAACAAAAAAAUAAAAAAAUAUAUCUAAGUGGGACGGACGAAGGAGACGAGCACAACAAAAAUGUAUAAGAAC